CUGGCACUUUCUCUUGUCCUGAGGAAACCUCUGGCAGGGCAACUGCAGGCCUGACUGAGCAGACACCAUCAGUUCCUUCUUCAGGGAUAAGAGUUCUACCUUUGAACUUCAACCUCGUGCCUGAGUCUCUGGGAUCCUCCACAGAUAUUCCCCUUGACCUUUGAUCAGAGCAAUCAUCAGCCAUUUCUGAGGUUUCCUUCAGCCCUGCUCUGGGAACCCUGGGCGUCUUGACCAUUGAUGGCCAUCCACAGACCUCCCGCCUGCUGGAUUGCAUGCCCAUCCUGGCUUCCCUGACAAGUCCUCUGACCUGUUGCAGCCAAAAUUUGAUCCUACCCGGAUCCUCCAGCCACUGCC
ensembl:lncRNA